UACGUAGGUGGCAAGCGUUGUCCGGAUUUACUGGGCGUAAAGGGCGCGCAGGCGGCUGGGCAAGUCCGAUGUGAAAGCUUCCGGCUUAACUGGAAAAUUGCAUCGGAAACUGCUCGGCUUGAAGGUGGGAGAGGGUAGCGGAAUUCCCGGUGUAGUGGUGAAAUGCGUAGAUAUCGGGAGGAACACCAGUGGCGAAGGCGGCUACCUGGCCCGCUCUUGACGCUGAGGCGCGAAAGCUAGGGGAGCAAACGGG
rnacentral:rRNA from 1 species